UACAGUCAGAUCACGCUGAAAACACCCAUUCUUACUUGAUCACUGAAGUUAAGCAGCGUUGAGCCCAGUUAGUACUUAGCUGGUGGAUUGCUGGAGAACACUGGGUACUGUAAU